UACAGAGGUCCCGAGCGUUGUUCGGAUUCACUGGGCGUACAGGGUGCGUAGGUGGUUGGGUAAGUUUGAUGUGAAAGCUCAGGGCUUAACCCUGAAAUGGCAUUGAAUACUACUUAACUGGAGGUUUGGAGGGGGGACUGGAAUUCUUGGUGUAGCAGUGAAAUGCGUAGACAUCAAGAGGAACACCAGUGGCGAAGGCGAGUCCCUGGACAACACCUGACACUGAGGCACGAAAGCUAGGGGAGCAAACAGG
rnacentral:rRNA from 1 species